ACAUACGACCAUAGACUCAAGAGGACUGGGCAUCCCGUCCGCUCUGCCAUACAUAACCUUGCGAUCGGUGGAUUAGUAGUUGGGUGGGUGACCACCAGCGAAUACCCACUGUUGUAUGUU
rfam:Pseudogymnoascus pannorum VKM F-3775 contig_679, whole genome shotgun sequence.